rnacentral:lncRNA from 1 species
UGAGGUCACCAAGGUCCUGGGCAGGACCGGUUCUCAGGGACAGUGCACGCAGGUGCGCGUGGAAUUCAUGGACGACACGAGCCGAUCCAUCAUCCGCAAUGUAAAAGGCCCCGUGCGCGAGGGCGACGUGCUCACCCUUUUGGAGUCAGAGCGAGAAGCCCGGAGGUUACGCUGAGCUUGGCUGCUCGCUGGGUCUUGGAUGUCGGGUUCGACCACUUGGCCGAUGGGAAUGGUCUGUCACAAUCUGCUCCUUUUUUUUGUCCGCCACACGGAAUUGAGAUGCUCCUUUAAAUAAAGCGUUUGUGUUUCAAGUUAACUCAGGUUCUUGUCUGGGUUAUGCGACUAGGGUUUCUCCAGGUUUCUUGAGUGGCUCCCAGGCGGUCACCGAUCCUCCGCACUCUGGAAAUC